UACGUAGGGGGCUAGCGUUGUCCGGAAUCAUUGGGCGUAAAGCGCGUGUAGGCGGUCCGGUAAGUCCGCUGUGAAAGUCGAGGGCUCAACCCUCGAAUGCCGGUGGAUACUGUCGGGCUUGAGUACGGGAGAGGCGAGUGGAAUUCCUGGUGUAGCGGUGGAAUGCGCAGAUAUCAGGAGGAACACCGGUGGCGAAGGCGGAUCUCUGGGCCAUAACUGACGCUGAGGAGCGAAAGCAUGGGGAGCGAACAGG
rnacentral:rRNA from 1 species